CGCAGGCCUCGGCCGCCACCCCUCCGUCCCGCAGGGCCCCUGCCGAGCCCGGGACCGCCAGCCCGGCGCUUCGGGAACAGCCUCAGCUGGCAGAAAACAGCCAGCGCCGAGUGCAAAUCGCCAGACUGAAUGGGAUGCUCCUCCUGCUUGGGGCUGCUUCCUGUGAAGAGUGUGGCUGCACUGCUGCAAACCAUCCCUUCCCUGCCACACUGGCACAGGUGGCUGUUGCCACCUACGACAGCCCAGACUUUGCCAUCUCCUUGUGAAGCAUGAAUAAGCAGACCUCCAGCCUGAUGCAUCAGAUUCCUCUUCCCGUGGCUCUCCAUCUUCCAUGUUGUUCAUGCGACUGUCUUCUAAGCCUCCUCAGGGAAGUUUCCUAGGAUGGAAUGCAGAGUAUAAUACAACAAUUUAACUGAAUUAAAAAUAUAUGAAACAAGCUUACUGAAGAGGAUGGGGAAAGGAGAUGAGCCACGUGACUCUGGAAAUGAGGGGCAUCUGUAAGACUCAAGGCAAAUGAUACUGCAUAACCACUGCAUCCUCGUUGAUAAAGUUGUGUCUCACGGGGGACGGAGUGUAUUGGUGUGAUCUCGACCACUGCAACCUCCACCUCUCAGAUUCAAGCGAUUCUCCUGCCUCAGCCUGGAGAAUACAGGUGAUUCUCCUGUAUUCCAUUAUCUUACGGAUCACUCUAGCUUCCUCCUUUUGUGUUUCUGUAACCUCCUACUCCAGUAGUGAGAAAUCUGACUCUCACCAUCCACUGUCUAUUUACUUAAUUAUUUAAUUUUUGUAUACAUGGUGCUAAUGGUUUGAAUAUGUCCUCCAAAAUUCAUGCUGAAACUUAAUCCCCAUUUUGACGGCAUUAAGAGGUGGGACUGGGCCAAGCACGGUGGCUCGUGCCUGU